CCCUGCCCGUGUCACCUGUCUGGGACACCUGUGUCCCCUCUGACCCCGCCAUGUCCCCCAAAAUACUCACGAACCCCUCUAAACUGUGUCCUCAAAAUUAGCUUUGUCGUUCUUUAAUUUUGUCCCUUCCGAUCCCCUCAACCCCCGAAAUUUUGUGUGCUCUCAGACCUUUUUUGUGCCCCCUCAAAAUCCCAUCAGAACCCCCCCAAAAUCCUUUCAAAUUGCCCCAAAACCCUCUCAGAAUCCCUCAAAUCCCCUCAUAACCCCCCAAAAAACCCUCAAACCCCCUCAGAUUUCCACCCUAUCCCCUCAGAACCUCUCAAAUCCCCUCAGAACCCCCAAAUCCCCUCAAAACACCCUCAGAACUCCUUAAAUCCCCACAACCCCCCACCCCAAAACCCCUUAAAUCUCCCCAAAACCCCCUCAGAACCCCCCAAAUCCCCCCAAAAUCCCCUCAAACCCCUCCUAAAUUCACUCACGCUCCUCUCAGACUCCCCCUACCCGAUUAUCCCUACCCAAAAUCUCCUCAGAAAAAUCUAAAAUUGCCUCAGAUCCUUUUCCCGCCUUUCUUGUCCCCUCACAACAACCCCAAAUUCCCUCAGAUUCUCCCCAAAUCUCCUCACGGUUUCUCCCGCCUCAUCCUCUCGGAUAUUCCCGUCCCCUCACGUUCUUUUUCCCCCAGAUUCCUUCCCGAUUUCCCCCAAAACCCCUCAGGAAACUCCAAAUCCCCUCAGAAAAUCCAAAAUCUCCUCAGGAUUCCCCUGAAAAACCCCUCAGAAAAUCCAAAUUCUCCUCCGAUUCCCCUGAAAUCCCCUCGCGGUUCGACUCAAAAUCCCUUCGAGUUUUUGCCCUGCCGAUCGCUCUCAAAUUACGCCCCCAAAAUCCCCUCAGAUCCCCCAAAAUCCUUAGGAUUCCCUCAAAUCUUUUUAGGAUUUCCCCAAAAUCCCCUCCCCGCCAUGUCCCCUCACGGCUCUCCCUCACGAUUCCCCCACAAAUCCCCUCAGGAUUUCCGCCCAAAAUCCCCUCCAAAAACCCCCCAAAUCCCCUCACGAUUCCCCCACAAAUCCCCUCAGGAUUCCCGCCCAAAAUCCCCUCCAAAACCCCCCCAAAUCCCCUCACGAUUCCCUCUCAAAUCCCCUCAGGCUCUCCUUAAUCCCCUCACGAUUCCCGCCAAAACCCUCUCAGGAUUCCCCGUUGAAAUCCCCUCAGGAUUUUCUACAAAAACACAACAAAUCCCCACAGGACCCCUCCAAACCCUCUCAGGAACUCCCGAAUCUCCUCAGAUUCCCCUAAAUUCCCUUCACA
rnacentral:lncRNA from 1 species